rnacentral:rRNA from 1 species
UACGGAGGGAGCUAGCGUUGUUCGGAAUUACUGGGCGUAAAGCGCGCGUAGGCGGCUUCUGAUGAUGUAGAGGUGAAAGCCUGGAGCUCAACUUCAGAAUUGCCUUUAAGACUGCAUCGCUUGAAUCCGGGAGAGGUGAGUGGAAUUCCGAGUGUAGAGGUGAAAUUCGUAGAUAUUCGGAAGAACACCAGUGGCGAAGGCGGCUCACUGGACCGGCAUUGACGCUGAGGUGCGAAAGCGUGGGGAGCAAACAGG